rnacentral:rRNA from 1 species
UACGUAGGGUGCGAGCGUUGUCCGGAAUUAUUGGGCGUAAAGGGCUCGUAGGCGGUCUGUCGCGUCGAAAGUGAAAACUCAGGGCUUAACCCUGAGCCUGCUUCCGAUACGGGCAGACUAGAGGUAUGCAGGGGAGAACGGAAUUCCUGGUGUAGCGGUGAAAUGCGCAGAUAUCAGGAGGAACACCGGUGGCGAAGGCGGUCUCUGGGCAUUACCUGACGCUGAGGAGCGAAAGUGUGGGGAGCGAACAGG